rnacentral:rRNA from 1 species
GGAUUAGUGGCGAACGGGUGAGUAACACGUGGGUAAUCUGCCCUGCACUCUGGGAUAAGCCUUGGAAACGAGGUCUAAUACCGGAUAUGACAUACGGCCGCAUGGUCUGUGUGUGGAAAGUUCCGGCGGUGCAGGAUGAACCCGCGGCCUAUCAGCUUGUUGGUGGGGUAGUGGCCUACCAAGGCGACGACGGGUAGCCGGCCUGAGAGGGUGACCGGCCACACUGGGACUGAGACACGGCCCAGACUCCUACGGGAGGCAGCAGUGGGGAAUCUUGCGCAAUGGGCGAAAGCCUGACGCAGCAACGCCGCGUGGGGGAUGACGGCCUUCGGGUUGUAAACCUCUUUCGACAGGGACGAAGCUUUCGGGUGACGGUACCUGUAGAAGAAGCACCGGCUAACUACGUGCCAGCAGCCGCGGUAAUACGUAGGGUGCGAGCGUUGUCCGGAUUUAUUGGGCGUAAAGAGCUCGUAGGCGGUUUGUCGCGUCGGCCGUGAAAACCUGCAGCUUAACUGUGGGCGUGCGGUCGAUACGGGCAGACUUGAGUUCGGCAGGGGAGACUGGAAUUCCUGGUGUAGCGGUGAAAUGCGCAGAUAUCAGGAGGAACACCGGUGGCGAAGGCGGGUCUCUGGGCCGAUACUGACGCUGAGGAGCGAAAGCAUGGGGGAGCGAACAGGAUUAGAUACCCUGGUAGUCCAUGCCGUAAACGUUG